GCAGUACAAUUAUGAAGUCAUAAACAUUACAAGGACACCUGGCACACAGCCCGUCACAAUGAGUUAAACUUGAGUAUUCGAUUCCCUGAGCAACCAUGGAAGGAGAAUGAGACACCUCAUCAGGAAUUCAACUGUGUCAGAUCAGGAGGAAGUGAGGAUGGGAGGAGUUGAUUCAUCAAACUCAGACAAGACCCAGCCAACCUUCUACUUUCAUUCAGCCAGUAGAAACAGAUCAUAAAGGGGCCUGUCAAGUCCACAGUCAAAUGAACUGUAAGAGAGAACCUGGAAGAGACAGGGAAAACAGAUUAUUUGCCAACAAAUUACUGCUGUUCAGUGACAAAGAAAACAAUUACAGUGCAAUGGCUUAUCAUCAUUUUGUGGUAUGCUUUGAUGUUUCCCAGCCAAAGCAUUCUCUAUGUGAGUUACAUUAAAAUUCUUACAAAAUCAGUCAGUAAAUUACAAAAAGACAUUUCAUAUUAACUGUUACAAAAGUUUAUAAAAAUAUUGGUUAGAGAAAAAUAAGAAAGCAUCACUUUGUCUACUUAUCUCAAAAUAACAUACUCAAAAUGCCCACCUUUUUCUAGAUAACUCAUCCAGCUAUGUCCAGCUAAACAUAUUCACCAGUAGUUUGAUAUACCUCACAUCUCACAUUCAAAAGGAAGAACAAGGUGGACUACAAAUCAGCUUUUAUAUCCCGUCACAUCCUUAUCAUAACUCUACUUCCUUGGGGCUUAACAUAUUUUAAAAUUCUUUCUUCCCUAUCAGCAUUAUCAGCUUUUAACCUAUUUGCUGUUCCUUGGGCUUAUCCUGUUUAUUUUUCUAUCACCUUCAUGACUUGUAGCUGCAAGUGCACAUCCUUUUGCCCACUCAAGUGCUGAGGUAAAAUAUCUCUCCUGUGCCAUCACUGUGCUGCAGGAUGGAGAAAUGGGCAACCUUGUCAAUAACUUGUUUUGGAAAAUGAAGAUGUUGAAGUAGUGAUAGCUGUAAAAGAGGGCAUGUCAGUAUAAUAUGGGCUGUGGUAUAUAACUAGAAGAGAAUUAAAUAUUUGCUGUGAUCACAACUUCUAGGAAAAUAAAUUUCAUUGCCUUUCAUAACAGUGACGAACUUAAGCAUGGCACUUUAUGUAGUUAACAUAAAAUCAGCUAGAAUCAAAACAUCUAUAAACAGAUUAUAUGGGAUAGUAGGUCAUGUUGUUCAUGGUAUGCAUUUGACCUGGUAAUUGAUAGAUAUUUCAAAGUAAUUUACCAUUAGUCACUUUGUGCAAUUAUUCUAAUAGUUUAUUCAAUACCAAGUGUGGAACUUUUAUGAAAAAUAAAUAUUCAAGUUUAAGUUGAAAACAUUUCACAAAUAAAUUAAUGGUUUUAUUUUCCAGAGGGGCUGUAUCAGUGAAAAUA